rnacentral:tRNA from 1 species
CUGUUUUGGCAAUAAGGAUUUCCUCCUGUAUGUGGGUCUACAGCCCACCGCCUGACCUCGGCCAUAUUACC